CGUAUGCACAUGUAUGUGUAGGUCAGAGUUGCAUAUCAGGUGUCUUCUUCAGUUGCUCUUUAUCUUAUUUUCUGAGACGGGGUCUCUUGAGGAACAGUAAACCAUGCCAGGAAGCUUGGUGGGUAGAGCAGGUUUGAGACCCUAGACAUUCACUGGGUUCACAUCUAAGAUGGUAGGUGCCUCCCUGCCAAAUUUCUGACCUGGAACACGUGACACACUUCCCACAUAGGAAACAUGUCCUAUGGUCAUGUGGGCCCCGAACAGAGUUCUCCAUAAUAGUGAGACACCUAGAGAACUUGAGGGUAAACCAAUGAGCUUCCCUUCCCUGACUUUCCCCCUGCAAAAGGUAUUUAGUCUCAGGUCCACCCCGAGAAGUUGGUAUGGAACGCAUCCAUUUUCCACUAUGAACAACCAAUAAAUAGUUUGGAAUCAAGGACUGUCUCUUUCAUCAAGAACCACCGUGAGGAGGAUGGAGCAGGCCUUUGCCCACGGAGCCACUGCCUAAGUCUCCCUUAGAAGGUCUCUCUGUGCUCCCUCCCAGCCACAGCUGCAGCCAAGCUAGCCAAGCUAACGACCUUCAGAUGAGCAAAGCCAGGGCUUCCCAUCACUCCCCAGGCCCAGCCUAGUCAUGGUCCUCAGCCUACAGGCUCCCAACUCUGCUCUCGACUCCUCGGAGACUCAGCAGUGCCUGAAGGUCCAGGAAUUUGGGAGCACCGGGUCCUAGCCUCGUCAAGGGCCUGUGAACUCCCAACACUUCGUUCACUCCUUCCGUUCUCCAGCAGCGGCUUUCCCACAUCUCUGACUGCAUUUUCCCACCCCUGGAGUGCUGUCUCAAUGCUUCCCUAAAGCCCAGCACCUGCCCAGUGGCGGCGUGAGCAGUCAAACUCCCUCCAGCAAGGCUGCACCUGCUAAACCUCCGCAAACUGGACCACAGCUGAGGAGGGAGUAUUCAAAUGCAUGGACCCGUGGGGAACAUUCCUCAUUCAAACCGCUACAGAUGACUGAGGCAGGCUUCAGAACAAAGCCUGCGGUGGUCGGACACAUGUGCUCAUGUGCACCUUGCUGAGUGUUCUCCCUAGACGGUGAGGGAGAUGGCUUCUGAAUGAAUACGAUGCUAGGCAUCUUCCAUCACCUUAGUUUGGCCUCAUGAAAUGACCAGAAUUGUAACCGGAAGCUGACUCAGUACGUUCUGAAGGCACGGUUCUAUCCACAGACGCCAAACAAGUGGCCAGAAUUACCACUCUACCCUGCUCUUGGCCUCCAGCAAGAAUGUACAACUUUCCCCUGAAGAAGCAUGUAUGUUUGGUCACCACUGACGUAAAUCUGGUCUGCACCUAUAGCUUGAUUCAUUGAGAUCCUUUCCUGUCCAAUUGCAUGAUCACCCCGGACGUAAAAAGACACUUUUUCAUCACCGGACCCCUAAAUAGAUGACCCGCCGAUCACAAGGCUUCAUGUAAAUCUUCUUGAUUGCUUUUUUCCCCCCCUUGCUUAUCACUUUCCCUAAAAACCCUGUCAGUUAGUGUAUUUAAAUUCCUUUCUCAUCUCCUCAUUGAGCCGCUAUUUAAAAUAAUGAGUCACAGCUGAAAGGAACGGAAAUAUCCCGGCUGCUUUUAAUAUACACCCUCAAGGACACUUCUUGGGGGAAGUUGGGAAGGAGUACUUCUCAACGAGGCCAAGGCCAAAGGCAAGGACAGGGAUUUCUUCCACGGUUGCCCUAUAGGAGAAGAAGCGGGAUUUGAACUUCUCACUGGUUGCUUUCCAGAGCUGUCUAGAUUGGCUUGAUGCUGACGAAGCUUUAUGUGUAUCACAGCCAACCCCUGAGUUGUUACGUGUGUGGCCUAAAUCAGGCACUUAUUAGGUUGCCUGGCAAAUGGGGAUCCUUUAUCAUCCUCACCAUUCAGCGGAGAAGACAGGGGAACUGAGAAUAACUAACCUGCCCAAGGACACAGAACUAGGUCACUAGAGGCAGAAUGUGAACAUUGAGACAUCUGACAAUUACUCCAGUUCUAUUAGCCAUGGGGACUCAGAUUAAUCUCUCUCUCUCUCUCUCCCUCUCUCUCCCUCUCUCUCUCUCUCUCUCUCUCUCUCUCUCUCUCUCUCUCUCUGUGUGUGUUCAUGUGUGCCCUUGUAUACACAUGUGUGUGCAUGUGUCUGUAUGUGAUGUAUGUGAUGUUCAUGUGUGUGUAAGCAGGUGGGGAUGCAUUCCUAUAUACAAUCAUAUGGAAGCCAGGGUUCAGUGUUGGUAUCCUUCUCUGUUGCUUCCCACGUUCUUUUUGAGACAGAGCUCUCACUGAACCUGGAGUUUGCUGCUCAGGUAGACUGUGUGACCGGAAAAAUCCUGGUAUCUUCAUCCCAUCCCCACGCUGGGAUUCCCACACAUGAUGCUUUGCCUGGGGUGUCACUUGGAUGCUGGGGAUCCAAACUCAGCUACUACGCUGUGUGACAGGCACUUUACUGACUAAGGGGUCUCCCCUAUACCAACCAAGCUGCUCUUUAAGUUCAGUUUCUUGCUUCUAUAAAAUGGGUGACAUAACGAUAACCUGGGCCUUGUUCCUUCCGGCACAGCUAUGGGAGUCAAAGAGAUACCAGAUGUAAACUUGCUUUGCAAACCUGCCUCACGAAUACACAGGUCAUCAUCACCCGUGGCGGAUGGGCAUCCUAGUUUGCUUUUCGUUGGCUUAACAAACACCAUGGCCCAAAGCAACUUGGAAAAAGGAAAAUGUUUAUUAGACUCACAGGAUAUAGUCAGGGGCAGGAUUAUAGGAUAGGAUAUAUCACCAAGGGAAGUCAGGGGCCUCACAGGACAUAGUCAGGGGCAGGAACCUGGAGGCAGGAACUGAAGCAGAGGCCACAUGGCUCACUUAACUGUGUCUGGUUUUUAAUUUUGUUUUAUUUUUUUAAUAUAAUUUUUAAAAACACAAGCCGGGACCACCUGCCUAGGGAUGAUACCUCCUGCAAUGGACUGGGGCCUCUCCCACAUCAAUAAAUCAAGAAAAUGUCCCACAGACUUGCCUAUACAACAAUCUGAUGAAGAUAUUUUCCAGCUGAGGUUCCCUCCCCCCUCCCAGAUCAUCAAUCCUAGCUUGUGUCAAGUACACACACACACACACACACACACACACACACACCAAAAACAAAAAAACCUAAACCAGCAGAGGAAGUCACUGCAGUGGGGGCACCUGAGAUCCCUCACCGGUGGGCUCACAGCCAAGACGCAGACCAGCCCCUGACAGGGCACAUGCUGCCAGCCAGCUGCCAGAGACUCUAGCUCCACAGGGAACUCUUCUGUCCCUCCAAUGUAAUUCUGCCUGUGGAACACAGUCUCACCCUCAGAAGCAAGCCCUUUGCCACCCUCCAAAGCCACUUUAUGCCAACAAGAUGAGUUUUGCCACCCUCUCUGAUUAGAGGCGUGCUUCUGCGCCGGGGGGGGGGGGGUGUCUGCGGAGUCGAUCUCCACGCUCAGAUUUAUUAACGCCGCCGUUGGCUUAAUGAAUUACUGCAAUCCAAUGAACCCAUAGAUAGCUUGUAUUUAACUUUUAUGUGGCUGCCCCAGAAACCGGCGUGAAAGGCAGAAAUCAAUGCUGGUGACAAAAAUCUCGAUACAAUUUAUUUUGAAUGCCCAGUUUGGGAUUUGAUGUAUGCCAGUGUCAGCUAUAGUUUAUGCUCUUGGAUGAAUUUUAUACUUACUGAUUAAAGGGAGUUAGCGAUACCAGUAGGAUACCAUUCAGCAAGCCUUACGACAAAUGUUGCCCAAGUGUUCCCAGCCAUCC